GUGCUCGCUUCAGCAGCACAUAUACUAAAAUUGGAAAGAAACAGAGAAGAUUGGCAUGGCCCUCGCGCAAGGAUGACACACAAAUUCCUGAAGCGUUCCAUAUUUUU
rnacentral:snRNA from 1 species